CACGUAGGGCGCAAGCGUUGUCCGGAAUUAUUGGGCGUAAAGAGCUCGUAGGCGGUUUGUCGCGUCUGCUGUGAAAACUCGGGGCUUAACUCCGGGCCUGCAGUGGGUACGGGCAGACUAGAGUGCGGUAGGGGAGACUGGAAUUCCUGGUGUAGCGGUGAAAUGCGCAGAUAUCAGGAGGAACACCGGUGGCGAAGGCGGGUCUCUGGGCCGUAACUGACGCUGAGGAGCGAAAGCGUGGGGAGCGAACAGG
rnacentral:rRNA from 1 species